UACGUAGGGGGCGAGCGUUGUCCGGAAUUACUGGGCGUAAAGCGCGCGUAGGCGGCUUUGUAAGUUAGAGGUGAAAGCCCAGGGCUCAACCCUGGAAUUGCCUUUAAGACUGCAUCGCUUGAACAUCGGAGAGGUAAGUGGAAUUCCGAGUGUAGAGGUGAAAUUCGUAGAUAUUCGGAAGAACACCAGUGGCGAAGGCGACUUACUGGACGAUUGUUGACGCUGAGGUGCGAAAGCGUGGGGAGCAAACAGG
rnacentral:rRNA from 1 species